GGGAUCCCUGAGCAGAAAAGCAUUGGUGCUUCAGGGUGAUGAUAGAAGCAUGCAAUUAGCAGGGGGUGGUUGGGUCCAUCCAGCCCUUCUGUGCAGUGUGUAAGGGUGAGGAGGGGAUGGAGGCCCUGUUUUGUACAAUCCCUUCAAUGCAUUCACAUAUCCCAGACCUCUGGAGCUGCUGAGAAGGUGAGCAGAAUAACGCAGUGUCCUGUUUUCAUGUUGUCUUGCUUACAGAACGCAGCGAUACGGAUGGGAUUUACGCAGAGAAAUUUAAAGAAACGAAGAGAAAAUGCAACCAAAUAGUGCCUUUCAGCCAGGGGUCUUGAAGUGCUGUGUGUGCCUUAAAGCACGGAGCUGCUCAAGGAGCCCUGCAGAGGAGGGAUGCCCUCACCCAACUGGAGCAGGAGGGCUCACAUGGGAGCAGCAUGGCAGCCCCGAGCUGAGUGUUCAGAUAGAGGAAAGGGGCUGAGAGAGGACGAGAUGCAGCGUUCAGCCCUAAACAGAUGGGAACCUGUCAGCACAACGUGGAGAUAAUCAUCCGUUCGAGCCAUGGGAAGCUUCGUGGCUGAGAGGAAGUUAUUGCAGCCAACACAGCUCUGCUUUAUCGUCUCACCAGCUUCCUUGGGCAGAGCAUAUUGGUGAGUUCCAUUAUUCCUUUGAAGAAGCACCAAGAACAUCCUUGUUUCCAUUGGGGGGCUGCAUUGAUGAUGGAGGAAAUCGAUCUCCUGUGGGUAUUUGGGUGGCAGUGCAGUGCUGGGAGGUUCUCAUCCCCCCUCUGGAAAUGAGGAUCAGAACCUAUUUUCUGUUAUAGAGAAUAGAGGGUGUUCUUCUGACCCGGAAAGACCCACAUUACACCCCAAUCUGGAGGAUUACCUUCGACACACCUGGAUCUGUUCUUCACUUCUCAGCCACCUCUGCUGCCACGUUGAGUUACUGUCUCAUGCCUCUGCUUAAUUAGUGCCGCUGUGCUCCGUGUCAGAGCCCAGUGCAGUUCACCAAGCAGCAGGGAGAUGUGCUGCCAGCACUGCUGAUGCAGGAACCUGGUGCCUCUGUGGGUGAAACGUGUGGCAGAAAUACAACAGCUGUGGUGGGAGUGUUCUUUGUGGCGGGGGGGGGGGAAGGGUGUGAGGUAGGUGUGUGAGAUGACAGCCCCUGUAGUGCUGUUCUUCAUCACUGGGAAGCACCGACCCCUACCCAUGCACACGUGUUGAUGUCUGUGUUUAACCUCUCGGUUCUCUUUCAGGGGGGGUUUAAAGGAAGGUGAAUUCCCAAUGGAUUUUUUGGGGUUAUGCAAACAGCCGCCUUCUGAGAUGGGCACACGUGUGAUGCUCACCUAAGCAAGCAGUGCUUUUCCCCUUGGAAACACCCCCUGAGCAUCUGUGAGUCCUUUGCUUUCAUUUUAGUAUUACUGCUAGCAAAUUUCCAAUUGCUGAGAGAAGAAAUCGUUCCCAUUCCUGCUUUCUAGAUAGGGAAACCCAAGCCACAGGCGUUUAACACGAGGCAAGGACCUCAGGAGCCCUGAUAUUCCCUGUUGUAACCAGAGCUUAA
ensembl:lncRNA